rnacentral:rRNA from 1 species
AUACGGAGGAUGCGAGCGUUAUCCGGAUUUAUUGGGUUUAAAGGGUGCGUAGGCGGGCUGGUAAGUCAGCGGUGAAACGCAGGUGCUCAACACCGGACCUGCCGUUGAAACUGCAGGUCUUGAAUGCGGAUGCUGUGGGAGGAAUGUGUGGUGUAGCGGUGAAAUGCAUAGAUAUCACACAGAACACCGAUUGCGAAGGCAUCUCACAAAUCCGUGAUUGACGCUGAGGCACGAAAGUGCGGGGAUCGAACAGGAUUAGAUACCCUGGUAGUCCGCACUGUAAACGAUGAUGACUCGCUGUCGGCGAUAGACAGUCGGUGGCCAAGCGAAAGCGAUAAGUCAUCCACCUGGGGAGUACGACCGCAAGGUUGAAACUCAAAUGAAUUGACGGGG